rnacentral:rRNA from 1 species
AGAGAGAGACAUGCGCGCAUAUCAAUAAGCGGAGGAAAAGAAACUAACUAGGAUUCCCUUAGUAACGGCGAGUGAAGCGGGAAGAGCUCAAAUUUGAAAUCUUCAAGGUUUACCUUGACGAAUUGUAGUUUAAAGAAGUGUUUUCUGCUGGAGUUUUGGUAAAAGUUCUUUGGAAUAGGACAUCAUAGAGGGUGAGAAUCCCGUAUUUGACCAUUAUUUUCAGCUUUGUGAUACACUUUCAAAGAGUCGGAUUGCUUGGGAAUGCAGUCCAAAAUGGGUGGUAAAUUUCAUCUAAAGCUAAAUAUUGGCGAGAGACCGAUAGCGAACAAGUACCGUGAGGGAAAGAUGAAAAGAACUUUGAAAAGAGAGUUAAACAGUACGUGAAAUUGUCAAAAGGGAAGCGUUUGACACCAGUGUUGUUUUCUCGAAAAUCAAUUAAAAAUGGCUCGAUUUUGUAUUGUUGAGACCUUAAAAGCUCACUGUACAUUUUUCGUGUCUUUUUUAAUGCACUUUUCGUUUGACAAGUCAACAUCAGUUUCUUUUGUUGUAAAAGGGUCAUUGGAAGGUGGCUUUCUUUUCGGAGAAAGUGUUUAUAGCCUUUGGCCUCUGCAAUCGAAGAGACUGAGGUCUGCAGCGUAGACUCUUCGGGGUUAGAUACAUUUGUGCUAAGUUAUAGCUUUUUAUAGACAACUUGUUGACUAUAAUUAGUCUUGUAGCUUACUCGCUUAUGCUAUUUUACCUACGCUUAGGAUGUUGAGUCGUAGAGCACGCA